rnacentral:tRNA from 1 species
GGCCUCGUGGCCUAAUGGCUAGGGCGCUAGAUUUCGGUUACCACAUAAUUACUGAUCCUCUAGAGAUUGUCGGUUCGAGUCCGGCCGAGGUCG